AUUUAUAUAGUUUAAAAAAAACAUUACAUUUUCAUUGUAACAAUAAAAUUAGUAAUUAUUUUUAUAAAUA
rnacentral:tRNA from 1 species